rnacentral:rRNA from 1 species
CAAGUCGAACGCGAAAGUGGAGCAAUCCAUGAGUAGAGUGGCAAACGGGUGAGUAACGCGUGGGCGACCUACCUUCGAGUGGGGGAUAACCUUCCGAAAGGAGGGCUAAUACCGCAUGACAUCCCGUGUUUGGAUACACGGACAUCAAAGCCGGGGAUCGCAAGACCUGGCGCUUGGAGAGGGGCCCGCGUCCGAUUAGCUAGUUGGUGGGGUAACGGCUCACCAAGGCUCCGAUCGGUAUCCGGCCUGAGAGGGCGGACGGACACACUGGAACUGAGACACGGUCCAGACUCCUACGGGAGGCAGCAGUGGGGAAUUGUUCGCAAUGGGCGCAAGCCUGACGACGCAACGCCGCGUGGAGGAUGAAGACCUUCGGGUCGUAAACUCCUUUCGACCGAGAUGAAUUCUCGCCGACCUAACACGUCGGCGAGGUGACAGUAUCGAGGGAAGCAGCCCCGGCUAACUCCGUGCCAGCAGCCGCGGUAAUACGGGGGGGGCGAGCGUUGUUCGGAAUUACUGGGCGUAAAGGGUUUGUAGGUGGUCUGCUAAGUCAGACGUGAAAUCCCUCAGCUUAACUGGGGAACUGCGUCUGAUACUGGCGGACUUGAGGACAGGAGAGGAACGCGGAAUUCCAGGUGUAGCGGUGAAAUGCGUAGAUAUCUGGAGGAACACCGGUGGCGAAGGCGGCGUUCUGGACUGUUUCUGACACUGAAAAACGAAAGCCAGGGGAGCAAACGGGAUUAGAUACCCCGGUAGUCCUGGCCCCUAAACGAUGAAUGCUUGGUGUGAUGGGUAUCGAUCCCUGUCGUGCCGUAGUUAACGCGUUAAGCAUUCCGCCUGGGGAGUACGGUCGCAAGGCUGAAACUCAAAGGAAUUGACGGGGGCCCGCACAAGCGG